rnacentral:lncRNA from 1 species
AGAUCCUCCUCAUUACAUCUUUAAUUGUGCACAUUUUUGAAGUUUUUUAUAAUUUACGGAUGUUACAAUUUUAUUCCAAUGCUUUUGCAAAAGUGAUAUUUUUUUUAGUAAUAACUCUACCAAACACAGGAACUUUCUUGUUCCUGUGCCCUUCUGCCUAUAAUAGUCUUGAAUUUUUUACAGCUGCUUAGAACUCCUUUUCUAUCUGCUGGAUUAGAUGUGCCUGAUUCAAAUUGAUUUUUGCUCAGAUAAUUUCUUAACAUCUUUAAUGUGCUUCAGUUUAUCUUUUAACAAUGCUAUUGUUAAAGAAAAAAUUAUUCUGACAAAUAGCAAGAAAGGCUUUAUUCAAGACUGUUGCAAUAGGGGAGAGAAAUCAGGCUCAAUUCCAAAUAAAGCAGAGAGAGAUGAAGAUUUAUAAUCAACAAGCCAAAUGAGGGAGUUAGUGGGUAGAAAAUCGCUGAGAGGAGACGACAAGGGCAGGGGAUUCUUGCUAAUCCGAUCUAACAGAAUUCUUACUGAAGGCAAGCCAGAGUUAUAUAUCAACCAUAGGGGUUGAGGAAUUUGAUCAUAUGUUGAGGGUGGAGGGAUUCUCAUUAAAGUAAUUUUAUUCUUGGAUGGUUGUGUGGUGAGAACAUUGAACCCUAACCAAUUGAUGUUGGUCCCCAGAACUUUUCCCUUUGGAGAAAGAAUUCAGCAAAGAGAUUGAGAACAGUGAGGCAAAUAAGUGUUUACUAAGAGAGAAGAGAGAGAAGAUUGGUGUGAAGAAAGCACAGGCAGGUUCUUGUUCAGGGAAGGGAGGGAGAGGGAGAUAGAGACAGAAAGAGCAAGAGAGGACGUGGGUGACACAUGCUUUGGAUGUCAAAUAAAUCACUUGUAUGGAGGCAGUCCUCCUGGGCUUCCUCUGGCCAAUCAUUUUGCUUUGUCUGGCCUUGAGCCCACAUUUGGACGGACUCGGACUCGCAGUUCUCCUGUGUGCGUGCGCAUCUUUUAACCAGGAUGGAUUCUAGCACAAGGGUUUUUGGAAAGUUGACAGGAUGUACUGUGGUACAGUGCCCUCCUUUCUCUGACCCCUGAGGAACAUUUCUGUGAGUAUGUAGUCCUGGAGGUUUCUCUGACCUCAAGAAUGAGAAAUAGGUGGUCUUUAUCUUUCAUCCAAGUUCCUCCUUGACCCUGCUGUAACCUUUAUCUUGAAGUAACUGUUCACAGGGAACAGAUUACAGUUGCUCAGCCUGGGGCCCAUCUAUCUCAUUCUUCAAUUUAGGCAGGAAUUUUGCUACAACUAGACUGCACUGCCAAAGACAAGGCCCAAAGAUGAGGCCUUGUUGAAAGAGUUUGUCUCAAGUUUGAUUAAAAGUGUCACUCUAUCAAUGCUGCCUUGCUAAACUGUUAAUUAAGAGUUAAAGCAUUCUCAACUUAACCUAUGUGAUUGUAAAGACAGCCAUGCACAGUGUCCAAGAUCCUCUCUAAUGAUUGUGAGACCCAGCCCUCCGACUUGACUUCCUGGGUGGCUUGGAUACCUGCCUCACUUUUCUGGUCAGGGCCUGUUUCCUCAUCCAUAAAAUAGGACCUGCACUAAUGGACCCUUUGUGUAGCAAAUAAGAUGAUAUAUUGAAAAUGCCUUGAAACUCUACUUUUCUGUGCAAAUGAAAAGUGCUGUUAUUGUCAAGAAUGUCUCUCUCCUCCUUAUUCCAGUGAACUCAAAGUAACUAUAAGUUUGAUGCCUGCUAUACCACAGAUAGAAGUAGCCAAAACCUGCUAUAACCCCCUCUUUUGUUUUUUGUAUUUUGUUAAUGUCUCUAUUGCAACCUUUGUGAUUUUGUCUUGCAAUUAUUUAAUUACACAGCUUUUCAUCCCACCACUUUUUUCUUAAGACAGGCAGCUUACGUCAUUCUUCUUUGUGUUCCCAUUUCCCGUGGUACAUAUUUGGUCUUCAAUAACUAUUUGCUGAAAAGACAGAUAGUUAUUUCUUGCUUCCAAGAACAUCUGCUAAGAGUUCUUUUUUUCUCUAGUUUUCCUUGAGCAGCAUCCUCCAGCAACCAAAGAAACUCUUUUCCUGGCUUUCUUUUUAUAUUGGCAUACUGGAGUGAAAUCACAUUAUUAUAAAGAGUUUAUACUCAAGAAAGGCAUGUGAAACAAAAAUCACAUGUAGUCAAAACUGUCUUUGAAAAAGGCCUCAAGUAGCCCUUUGCUUCUCUUUUGCAAUCUCUUUCACUGAAAGCAAUAAAUAAAUAAAUAAAUAGGGUCACUGAAAGCAAUAAGUAAAUAAGGAUUUCCCACACAAUCUUUUUUUAGGUGACCAAAGUGAUUUAUUUUGGUAAGUUAAAUGUGUAAAUGCUGGAGUUCCCAUUGUGGCUCAGUGGUAAAGAACCUGACUAGUAUCCAUGAGGAUGCAGGUUCAAUCCCUGGCCUUGCUCAGUGGGUUAAGUAUCCAGCAUUGCGGUGAGCUGUGAUGUAGGUCACAGACGUGGCUCAGAUUCUUUUUCUGUGGCCAUGGUGUAGGCUGGCACCUGCCACUCUGAUUUGACCCCUAGCCUGGGAACUUCCAUAUGCCACAGGUGUGGCCCUAAAAAGAAAAAGAAAAAAAAAAGUGUAUAUGCUGAUGUGAUAUUGCCUUGUAUUGUUGGGUCCUGAUUCCCAUCCUGUAUUUUCCGUGUUUUUCUUCUUUCCUCUCAGCUGGGAUUUGCCAUUCUUAUUUUAGUUUUAAACCUGCAUUAGUGUCUGUUGAAGACUGUUAAAGCUUGAGGACUUAAUAAGUUAUGGUUCAUUAUGUGGGCAAAUAGCAGCAAAUUGUUGUCCUGAUAAGUUUGGCGUGACCCCACUUCUCAGUCCCAAUUACACUAGUGGAUUUACACCUUCUUCCAGAAUCACAUUCUCUGCCUCAUGCUUCAUAUGUUAAUUGCAUCCCUGCCUUUCCCUUGAAGUAUCAGUCUCUGUCUGAAGAAUCUCUUCUCUAGGAGGGGGCAGUGGACUUACAACCACUACUCAGUUCUCCUCAUACACAUGGCAGUUCAGAUUUCUUUCUUCUGCUUUCACACUCUACCUACAUUCUUGCUAUAUAUUUCAGAUAGCUUUAUCUAUCAAUACCUUGACCUAUAUUGUUAACAAACCCACCAAGUACCAUUUUUAUUCCAAAAGGGAUUCUCUGCCCCGAGCUCAGCAGCUGGUUCCAGGUCCUCACUUUCCUGUUUUGCUUCUGUGAAUCUCAUCGUCAUAUCAUCACAUCGUGAAUCUAACUCAAUUGUGGCAGCUUAGGUGAAUGAGUGACUUUUGAGAGACUAUUAUUGUCAACCACAACUAAUGUAAUAUAAACAGAGUUAAACCUUUAACACAAGAAUUAUGUAUUAAACACUAACAGAUUUCCUCACACAUUAACUAUCUGGUGGAUUUUCCUUUUUACGAAGAAAUUGAAUAUCCAGAAAUUAGCUUCCAAAGCAUUAAUUCUUUGAGUCAUGAAGAGAUAUUUUAAUUAGGGAACAGAAUCCAACAUUGGAUUUAACUCAUAACCUUGAAAUAUACUCAAAGGGUGGUACAGAAUAAUCUCUCCAUCAGGAGGAAAUGAGGAGGAAUGAGAGCCAGAGAGUCAUCACUCUGAAAUCUGUUGAAUAAAAGUGAUUAAUUUCAAAGUCUGACUCACAAAUUUGUGGUUGAUGGUCUUCGGUUUGGAAUUUUUAUACAUCUUUACUUGGACAAGAAUCCUACAUGUGAAAACAAUAAUCUAUCAGUUUAACUUUUUGUUUUCUUGGAGAGUUUCCAGCAGUGUAUGAUUUUUAAGAAAUACACAUUUAUAUGCACACUUACAUACAUAUAUAUGUAUCCUGUUCUUUAUCUUGAAUUAGGUUUAGAAAGUGUUGGAAAUGGGUUAUAAUCUCAGAUCCAGGAAUGAGAUGUUCUUGAAGACAGACAGAGAUGAGAAUUGGCUCAUUUGUAUAGCUUAAGUCUUCACACACCUUAGCUGAGAUGCAAUAAGAAAUAUGCCUUAUUUCACACCGUAACAUGAUUUGAAUUCUUUCCUACUGCCUUUCUCUCUUGUAGGCAAUUGUGAUACCUUUGACCCAACUGCAUAGACAUAGCAAAGUCAUGGGUUCUUUCUAGGAUCUUAAUUGUGUAAAGGAACAGCGAUAAAAAUCAGAAUGAAUUUUAGAGUGUUGUGUGAAAAGCUGGCCACAUGCUGAAAGGUACUUGCCUUUUGCAAUCCUAAAUCCUCACUUCUAAGGAAAAAAAAUUGAGACUCACAAAGCAAGAUUAGAUUUUCAUCGAUGACUCAUUCCUGGGAAUCCUGCAUGGUCCCAGUAUUUACUGCUUUAUUAUAUGAGUAAAUGGAACAGUAUAAACACUCUGACCUUUAAUUCAGGAUCUCAGCAACUGUACCCCAUGCCUUUCUAGUCUAAUCUGUUAGGAAAAUAAAAAUUGAGAAAUAUACGAUUCAAUAACCAUAUUUAAUUAAUUCACUAAAUAGGUUCAAAGCAGGUAUGAUUAGAGAUAUUAGGUAGUUUUUUUCCCCCCUGUUCACUUUAUAAAAACAAAAAAACUAGCAUUAAUCAGAGAAUAAAAAUGUUGAGCAUUGUAUUUCCUAGUGUCAGUGGUUCAAAUGGGCCUAUCUCAGAGAAGGGGAAAAAAUAAAGAUUAUGUACAAUGUGAUUUUUUUCUUGAAGCUCUUUUCAGCUUUUUGCAAAACAUGGCAAUACUUAACUAAUCUGCUUUCCUGACUGUGAUCUUAGCUUUUAAGUCACACACUUAAAGAAAAAAAAAGAACAUUCUUUUUACUGUUCUUGCUCUUAAGAAAAAAAUCUGUCACAAGUUUACUGAAGGCAUUUGGCAUUUUGAUGGAGAUCAGAUAAGACAAUAUAUGCCUCAUGAAAAGCAGUGUGAGAACCGGCAUGCAUGAAUUCAUAUUAAGAAAAAAUUAUCAACAAGCUGAAGAAAACUGAGCGUUCGUGAACAUCAAAACAGGAAGACAAUGGCAUAAAAAUAAUCUUAACAGUCCAUCAGGUUUACUGGGAAAAAAUGCCUUCUAUUGUUACCACUAUCAGCCCACUAGAAUAACAAAAAAUGUUUUAUGCUAUGAGUGCCGUUGACAAGGGGAAGAAAGCUUUUUCAGUUGGUCUAAGUUUAGCUUUUUCCUUUUCUUUUAAUUGCCUGAAAUCAACUAUCAUUUCAUUUCUGGGUUCAUUCCACUAAUUUAUAGCCUAGAAGCACGCAUAUGGGCUUAAUUCAUGGAGCACUCAGCUAAUUUCCCAUCUGAGCUCUCUCAACUUCAUCAUUUAAAUUCCCCCAGUGAUGUGGGAACUUAAAGAACAAUUGUUUUCUCUUUAUUUCCAUAAUUUCAUGCCUAUAAAUCCUCUUCAUAUUUCUUACAUGAUUUCAUAAAUUAUAUAUAACUUCCAAAUUGGUUUAUAAUUUACCUCACUCUUGCAAAUAAAGUCAUUUGCUUAAAGUCUCCAAAAAUGAUAUAUAUUAGACUAGUUCUAAAAGAACUUGAGAAGCAUGGGGUCGUAUUAAAUCACCUGUGCCUUGCUGGAAUGAUAGAGAAAGUAAAAUACAAUAUAAAACAAUAACAGAGAGACUCAGGAGAGGUAGCAAGUGAAAGACCUUAAGAACUGAGAGUUCCCAUUGUUAAGCAGUUUAAGAACCCAACAUAAUGUCCAUGAGCAUGUAGGUUUGAUCCCUGGCCUCAUUCAAUGGGUUAAGUAAGGAUCUGGUAUUGCCUCAAGCUGCAGUGUAGAUUGCAGUUGUAGGCCUGGAUCUGGCACUCCCCCCCCAACCCCGUAACCCUUAUGCCACUCACCCCCAUUUUGCCUCUGAGAUAUAACUUGAAUUUGAAAAUCGUGAUUGUUUAAUAUCCCCCUUACAAUUUCUCAAGAAAUCUUCAAGUUCAGCACUGUUUCCUUUAAGAGCAUGUCAUCAAUUCCAGGAUGUGACAUUAUCAAAUGACCCCAAAUUAUUUCUUAGUUUAUAGAUUAAUAUUUCUGGAUAACAGAGAGAUCGUAUUUUCUAUUCCUUCUUCUACAGUCUUUCCUAACCAUCCUG